rnacentral:rRNA from 1 species
ACGCUGGCGGCGUGCUUAACACAUGCAAGUCGAACUUUUCACUUUAUUUGAUUUCUUCGGAAUGAAGAUUUUGUGACUGAGUGGCGGACGGGUGAGUAACGCGUGGGUAACCUGCCUCAUACAGGGGGAUAACAGUUGGAAACGACUGCUAAUACUGCAUAAGCGCACAGGGUCGCAUGACCUGGUGUGAAAAGCUCCGGUGGUAUGAGAUGGACCCGCGUCUGAUUAGCCAGUUGGUGGGGUAACGGCCUACCAAAGCAACGAUCAGUAGCCGACCUGAGAGGGUGACCGGCCACAUUGGGACUGAGACACGGCCCAAACUCCUACGGGAGGCAGCAGUGGGGAAUAUUGCACAAUGGGGGAAACCCUGAUGCAGCGACGCCGCGUGAGCGAAGAAGUAUUUCGGUAUGUAAAGCUCUAUCAGCAGGGAAGAAGAAAUGACGGUACCUGACUAAGAAGCACCGGCUAAAUACGUGCCAGCAGCCGCGGUAAUACGUAUGGUGCAAGCGUUAUCCGGAUUUACUGGGUGUAAAGGGAGCGCAGGCGGUACGGCAAGUCUGAUGUGAAAGCCCGGGGCUCAACCCCGGUACUGCAUUGGAAACUGUCGGACUAGAGUGUCGGAGGGGUAAGUGGAAUUCCUAGUGUAGCGGUGAAAUGCGUAGAUAUUAGGAGGAACACCAGUGGCGAAG